CUGAGCGGAGCCGUGAGGGUGGAGAGGAGACCGGAGAAACCAGUAGCUUUGUGCAGCUUGGUCUGUCACUGGCACAGCUGGCAGGGGUGGCAGCAAGAUGGAGAGAUGGGAGCAAGAUUGGGCUGGCUGGCCAAGUGUGCGAAAGGGUUGGUUCAGUCGGUGCUGGAAGACGCGCAGAACUGCCCUGCAUCAGCCAGAGAAGUACCGAAUUUAGAACGUGUCCUGGAAAAGGCCGUGUGUGUAGCCAACUUCACUUGAGCUCCUGGGCAGAUGCCGGAUUCUUUCCAAGAACUUGGAGCAGAGCAUGGAGGUUUCCUACAGCAGCCAGAUCCAUCCUAUAAUGAUUUAAAUCAUCUGUUCAGAAGAAAUAUUAAUGGGACUCCCAUAAGGCUCCUGACAUUUUGCUGAUGUUCCUGUUAGAAGACCUAUCACCUCAUUUUGAAAGCAGUAAUGAAAGUGCCAGUAUUCAAACCGCAGGGCUUAAAUGCUCACAGUUAGUCACAAAUUAGGCUACUUCCAGGCAUUCUGCUGCUGAACAGAAUUACUAGUUAUGAAUUGGUGGUUUAAGAUUUUUAAACAGUGCACAAGAAGCUAGACAUCUAAGAAUGUGAUACUGUCAGCAGAAAGUUUUUUGUUUGGUUGGUUUUUAAAAAGGGGAGGGCUAAAUUAGCUGGUGAGAAAGAUCAGAAGAGAAGUCUCAUUUCAGCUUAUCGGAACAGGACACCUCUUUGUGUCCACGUCCGAUAUCUGUGUGUCUCUCUGACUUGUGAUAGUGCCUGGAAAUGAAGUCCCUUACUGCGCCUUAACAAUUGAGCUCUACUUAGGUGGUUUUAUUGUGUCUUGAAGCUUUUUAGUGGGAUGGCUUCAGCUCCAGCUGUUCUGCACGCCAGGUAAAUAAUUUCAGCAUACCAUCAAGGCAACAUCUGGCAGUGCCAACAUAUCCUCAGUUCUGAGAGCAUUAAGAAUGUUCUGAAUGUGCCUAAAGUUCUGGACUGCACAGUUAAAAUUUGUGUGGGGUGCCUAAAUUGUGAAUGCUGAAGAAAUGUCUGUGAAAAGUUCCUGCAUAUUUUGAAGAUGUGCUAGUUUGAAAAAGCUGCGCAACAAGCAGCAGAAAUGAGAAGUGCUAUGGGGGUUUUACUGGUGUGGAAACUCAGGUCCCAUGGGAAAUCGAUAUUUUGGAAUCUGAACUGUAUCUAAUAUCCUGUUUUGGAUCUAACCUGGAGACCUAUAAGCAAGUUUGUUUCUCAACUAGAUGGGUAAUUAAACAAUAUUCAUGGAUUUAUAGUGUAUUCCCGAGAGGGUGUUUGCAUUAGCUUUAAAAUACAACAGUCCAUUUCAUAAAUGAGAGAUGAAGAAUAGGUACAAAAUGAUGUAAGUCGGUUUAACUGAUGGGUGACCUACAUGAUCUAAGGCAGUUAUUUGCCUUAGAUCAUGUAAGGAUGCCUUCAGCAGAGAGAGGUCAUGCUAAUAACCAAAGGAAAAAUGUCUGAGCCCCACAUUUAACAAAUAGAAUGGAAGAUCAUGUUCAAGCUUGAAUGUGGAACUUUAAACAAGACACUCUUUAGACUUCAGGCUUGCUUCUUAAUGAUACUGAUCUCAGUAUAUGCCUCUUUGUAGUAACACUCUGCUUUGUGAAUUCUGAAGCUGUCCUGGAGCAAGGACCAUGUAGUAUGGCCUUUGUAAUUGAGGAGCAGGAUUAUUCUUGGGGAUAAGCAAGCUUCUUGCAACUGUUCUGCCUGACCAGAGUCUGUUUAAACCCUUGUUCCUUAUUUGCAGAUGGUAGUGAUGCUUGAGUCCUUCAGUAUUACAGAGGAAGCAUAAUUUUAUAUACAUCUAACUUAUAUGCAGAGCUGAGAAAUGUUACCUCUAAUGAAAACACCUCUUGCUCCUUUUCACCCAGGAGUUAUGAAUGCCAAAAUCUUUCAUGGGCCUGAAAAAAGACUGGACAAACUCAAGAAAGUAAAAUCGAUCUGCUAAAUUCAAAGAUACGGUUAUUGGAUCAAGUCUUGAGCCAUAGAAAGAUAGGGACUGGGAUUAUAUAUAUAACUAUAUGCAUGUCCUGUUCUUUCCUUCCUGUGCAUUCACUUUUGACCAGUGUUGCAGAAACAGGGUCCCGAGGUUCUGGUUUAAAUUGGUAUGGUAAUUCGUACAAAUUGUAAUUUACUUAAAAUGCUGGAAAUGCCUUCUGCUGUUUUGUAAUUGUGGGAAAACCCCAGGGCACACUCUGCCCGUAAGAAAGAAUCUUGUGCCCCAGUUAAGUUCUACUGGCAUACUCUGGGUAUAGCUACGAUGACAGGAGUGCUUUUGUUGGCUUAGCUUGUUUUACGAACGUGCAGUUGCAGUGAGGCAAGAAAAGCUCCGAUUAGCACGUAUUUCGUGUCCACGAGGGGGCUCUGACAGCUCUGGCGGCUGGUGAUCCCCGAGUUACACACGUCACUAAAAUGGCAGGCUGUAGUAACUGAAUGCUUGUUGCCUCUGGGAGCGAUUACAUCUGUUCUUGUUCAGCACUUUUGAAUUCUCUUAUCUAUUCUAUAUAAAGUUUAAAAAAAGAAAUUACAGAAAGGUAUUUUUCUGCCUCAUGUUGAGAAAUGCAUCUCUCGUUACGAAAACUUGCCUCAACUUUAAUAAACAGCACAGGCCAUUUGAUCUCUGGCAGAAGACAGUACCAAGCAUAUGUCAUCGCACGUGAGUUUCAGCUGUAUGAGAUAUUUUUCUAAUUAAAAAUUCAAGAGUUUUGCACACAUCAGUGUAUUUGUAAAGUAGAUGGAAUUGUUAUGGAGAAUCUUAAUUAUAAGUUUUGUUUGUUUUUUUUUAAAUCUUAGUAUUUUUAAACUUGGUACUACAGUCUUUCAAUAAA